rnacentral:rRNA from 1 species
UGCGUAGGCGGUUUCGUAUGUCGGAUGUGAAAGCUCGCCGUUCAUCGGCGGAAGUGCAUUCGAAACUACGAGACUAGAGUACAGGAGAGGAGAGCGGAAUUCUUGGUGUAGCGGUGAAAUGCGUAGAUAUCAAGAGGAACACCGGUGGCGAAGGCGGCUCUCUGGAAUGAUACUGACGCUGAGGCACGAAGGCUGGGGGAGCGAACA